GACGAACGCUGGCGGCGUGCCUAAUACAUGCAAGUCGAGCGAAUUUACGAGAGCUUGCUCUCGUAAAUUAGCGGCGGACGGGUGAGUAACACGUGGGCAACCUGCCUAUAAGACUGGGAUAACUUCGGGAAACCGGAGCUAAUACCGGAUAAUUCACAUCUACUCAUGUAGAUGUGCUGAAAGACGGUUUACGCUGUCACUUAUAGAUGGGCCCGCGGCGCAUUAGCCUAGUUGGUGAGGUAACGGCUCACCAAGGCCACGAUGCGUAGCCGACCUGAGAGGGUGAUCGGCCACACUGGGACUGAGACACGGCCCAGACUCCUACGGGAGGCAGCAGUAGGGAAUCUUCCGCAAUGACGAAAGUCUGACGGAGCAACGCCGCGUGAGUGAUGAAGGUUUUCGGAUCGU
rnacentral:rRNA from 1 species